rnacentral:tRNA from 1 species
GGGUCAGUGGCUCAGUGGUAGAGCGCCUUCCUGAUAAGAAGGAGGUCGAUGGUCCGAUUCCAUCCUGACCCA